CAAGCGUUGUCCGGAUUUAUUGGGCGUAAAGAGCGUGUAGGCGGCCAUACAGGUCAGCUGUGAAAACUCGAGGCUCAACCUCGAGACGUCGGUUGAAACCGUUUGGCUAGAGUCCGGAAGAGGAGAGUGGAAUUCCCGGUGUAGCGGUGAAAUGCGCAGAUAUCGGGAAGAACACCCGUGGCGAAGGCGGCUCUCUGGGACGGUACUGACGCUGAGACGCGAAAGCGUGGGGAGCGAACAGG
rnacentral:rRNA from 1 species